UUGGUGCUUCCUAUAAAAAGUAUGGGAUGUCUCAAAGAGAAGUGUGCUACACAACUGAGACUCUAUUACCUCUCCCCAACAGCUGGCAGCUCCCACACCUGGGUGAGAAUAAACUGGGCUCCUAGAGCACAUUCAGGGCAUACAGAUGGAGGUGAGCAUCAGUGGUUACACCUCACAGUGAACGCUUACUUAGCAGCCACACAUUCACCCAGACCUUACUAGAGAGUUUCAUUUAUCAAUAAUAGGGGAUUCUCCUGCAACGUGCUGGGAAGCUACAAUCAAGAGUUCCUUGAACCUGCUAUAGGCAACCUCACAGAAGUCCAGGAAGUGCUGUUACAUAAAAUGUUGCUACACAAGAAUAAAAUAUAGCAACCAGA